CCUACGGGUGGCAGCAGUGAGGAAUAUUGGUCAAUGGACGAGAGUCUGAACCAGCCAAGUAGCGUGAAGGAUGACUGCCCUAUGGGUUGUAAACUUCUUUUAUAUGGGAAUAAAAUGUUCCACGUGUGGGAUUUUGUAUGUACCAUAUGAAUACGUCUCGGCUAACUCCGUGCCAGCAGCCGCGGUAAUACGGAGGAUCCGAGCGUUAUCCGGAUUUAUUGGGUUUAAAGGGAGCGUAGGUGGAUUGUUAAGUCAGUUGUGAAAGUUUGCGGCUCAACCGUAACAUUGCAGUUGAAACGGGCAGUCUGGAGUACAGUAGAGGUGGGCGGAAUUCGGGGUGUAGCGGGGAAUGCUUAGAUAUCACGAAGAACUCCGAUUGCGAAGGCAGUUCACUGGACUGCAACUGACACUGAGGCUCGAAAGUGUGGGUAUCAAACAGGAUUAGAUACCCUGGUAGUC
rnacentral:rRNA from 1 species